rnacentral:pre_miRNA from 1 species
UUUCUAGUAAAGUGUGUCCCAUGUAACAUCUGGGACCUAUUUAUGCUAAAA